rnacentral:rRNA from 1 species
AUGUGGACAAAUGGAAACAUCAAGCUGCAGUACAAGUUCUUUGGCGAUGUUGUCACAUUCGAUACAACAUACCGGACAAACUUGUAUGACAUGCCAUUUGGUUUGUUCGUGGGAGUGAACAAUCACUUCCAAAGCAUAAUACUAGCUGGAGUGCUGAUGCGCGAUGAACAAGUAGAGAGCUUCCAAUGGGUAUUUUCUGAGUUCAUCAACAUGAUGGGCGGGAAACACCCGCAGACAAUAUUGACAGACCAAGCACGAGCCAUGGAGAUAGCAAUCCAAAGCGAGCUCCCUAAUACUGUCCACAGGUGGUGCAAGUGGCAUGUGCUUAAAAAGGCAAAAGAAAGCCUUGGCCCUCUGUACACAAGCAAGAGCGAGUUCAGGGCUGAGUUCCACAAAGUGGUGAAUCACAUGAUAAGCGUGGAGGAAUUUGAGAUGGCAUGGGGUUCACUUGUAGAGAAAUAUAAUCUGAAAUCCCACAAUUACAUGACAAACCUGUACGAGAUACGACACAAGUGGGCUAAGCCAUACUUCAAGGGAGUGUUCUGUGCAAAAAUGACCAGCACUCAGCGUAGCGAGAGCGCCAACAACAUGCUUAAGAUUUACAUGCCGCCAGCUAGCCCAAUGCAUGUAUUCGUGCGUCAGUACAUGAGGCUUCAAUUCGACCGUGAAUCAGAUGAAAGCUACCAGGAAAAAAGAACAAGGAUUAGUGGUGCUGUCAUGAGGACAAACAUUGCUAUCGAAAGGCACGCAAGUAAGGUUUAUACACGAAAGAUGUUUGAAAUAUUUGGUGAAAAUCUGUAUGAGGGUGGAUCUUACCAAGUUGAAGAAGUGGAGAGGAAAAAGAAAUACAUUGCAAGGCACAAUGACGCCGAAAAACGGGAAAGGUGGAGCAAGGUUGAAUAUGUGGUGACCAUAUCCGACGAUGGGGAGUGGUUUGAUUGUGAAUGCGGGCAGUAUGCACACAUGGGGAUGCUUUGUUGCCAUGCAUUAAAGGUGAUGGACCACAUUGGCGUGCAGGAGAUACCUAAACGGCACAUUCUAAAAAGGUGGACAAAAGAUGCUAGGGACAUAUUGCCACAACACAUUGCUCACUUCCAGAAAGAUCAAGCUGCUAAUCAGUCCUUAACCUGUCGGAGUUCGACUCUGUACCUGCAUGCUAUGGAACUCGUGAGGAUUGGAGACUCGUCGGUAGCUGCCUACGAGCUAGUACUAACAAAGGUAAAAGACCUGAUCGUUGAGGCAUCUCCGUUAGCUGAAAACAGAGAUGGUCUUGGAAUUGAGGAUAGGAUAGUUGCAGAAGCAAGCAAAAAGAAAAAUGGCUCAGUAAUGGCGGUGGGAAGCAUCGAUCCGGAGGUGGCCGCAAAUGAGAACAGCGUAACCGCAUCUGGCAACUGGGAUGCGCUCGCUGUACUGUCAGCUGCAGCAAAAAAACGAGGUGUAGGUAGACCAUGCUCAAGCAGAGAGAAAGCACCGUAUGAAGGCCUGAGCAAGAGGACGAGAUUCUGCAGUAUAUGUAAGCUUCCAGGGCACAAGAGGACUACAUGUCCAGAUCGCGGUGAUGUUCCUAAACAACCUCGCAAGCCUGCCACUUGCAAGAAUUGCGGUGUCACAGGGCACCGGCGCACCUCGUGCACUAGGCCGCUCGUGCCCAACGCAUGA